GACGAACGCUGGCGGCGUGCCUAAUACAUGCAAGUCGAACGAGAGCGACCGGUGCUUGCACUGGUCAAUCUAGUGGCGAACGGGUGAGUAACACGUGGGUAACCUGCCCAUCAGAGGGGGAUAACAUCCGGAAACGGAUGCUAAAACCGCAUAGGUCUUCGAGCCGCAUGGCUUGAAGAGGAAAAGAGGCGCAAGCUUCUGCUGAUGGAUGGACCCGCGGUGCAUUAGCUAGUUGGUGAGGUAACGGCUCACCAAGGCCGUGAUGCAUAGCCGACCUGAGAGGGUGAUCGGCCACAUUGGGACUGAGACACGGCCCAAACUCCUACGGGAGGCAGCAGUAGGGAAUCUUCCACAAUGGACGCAAGUCUGACGGAGCAACGCCGCGUGAGUGAAGAAGGUUUUCGGAUCGUAAAACUCUGUUGCUAGAGAAGAACAAGUGCUAGAGUAACUGUUAGCGC
rnacentral:rRNA from 1 species